GCACUCACUCUUGUCCACGGUCUUGAGGGCGCGCGUGAAGUCUCCAUUCUGGCCGUUACGAUUCACUUCGCUCCAGAGGGCAGCAACCGACGCCCCCCCGCCGCCGCCGCUCGCCAUUUUGGAGGAAACGCGGAGCCUUAGAGUUGUGUGGGAGGAAGAGCUAGUGUGUAUAAAGGGCAAGACUUGAAACCACUUCUUCCUGGCUCCAGGAGCAGCUCACUCUCUUCUGUAGGCGGUUACCUCUUUGGCUUUGAAGAGUAGAGGGAGAGACUGAUCUUGGGCUCUAUUUGUUACAAGGGCAUCAUAAUAGGUGUUUUACCCCUCCUUUCCAACUUGUUCUGGAAACCAGACAUCACCCAAGACUUCUGCUGAGAACCCAGAUUAGAAGUGCGGUCUGGAGGGGAGAGAGAAAUGGAUGCUAUUUUGUACCAGAAGACAUGGCCCUGCAUCUCAUAUAACAUAUAACAAUCGAGAAGAGGUAUUUCUCUGCCCUGUUGAAGAAUAGUAGUUUUAUCUUUCUAAAUUUCUGGGCAUUGGGUCUGGUUACUAAAAAGCCUGGGACAGGAAUUGCUUUCCUUCAUUAAUUCACAGGGAAAACUUUUGUAUAUUUUAAAACACUAAAAGGAGUAUUAUCACUCCACUUAACUAUCCCACUGUUCUGCUACGCUGAUGAUACUUAAACUAAAUAAUGAAUAACUUCUAUUUUGGAAAUGGCUAAAAUCCGUGUUAAAUACCAUGCAGAAUAACGGAAACAUUACAAUUGUUCAUAAUGGGUAGUUUAACUAUUUUUGUACUUGAUUUGAUGUAUGACUUUUCGUAUAACAGUUUAAAUCAUGUAUUUUAUGACAUUGUUUGAAAUUCAGUUUUUGUAUCUUGGGGCAAGACUGAAAACUUGUUUUUUAUACCUUUUGGUUAUUCUAAGCCCUAUGCCAUCAAUGCCCAUAUUAAUUGGCAAUGACUUUGUAUAAAGAAUUUAAGUAGAAAAAAUUGCAAUUGUAUUUACUGUACAACAGACACAAUAUGUGUGCUUUUUAUCUAGCUAGUAGUUACAAAUAAAACUCUGAAAAUCUCAGUAUACCAAAAAAAAAAAAAUCUAAUGGGAACAUAGUAGUCCAAGUGACUUGGUCAGGUUGCCGAGACAAAAGGAGAAACUUGGGACCAUUCUUCAACUGAAUACCAUAGGAUCUUUCUACACUAUAUUCAGCAAGGUGAAAUAAUGCUUGUUUUUAGCCACAGAAUCCUAUUGAGUUCAAGUGAUGACCCAGGUCCUUAGUUCACAGUAAGUGGAUUGUUCAGUGCCACAGUCUUUUGUUACAGCUGUUCUUCUUAGGUGUUAAGGGAAGCAACCAUUGGAUUUUCUUUCUUUUGGGGCAUCUCAUAUCCUGUAUUUAUUCUUGUAAUGCUUCCUAGGGCUAGGGCUAGGGAAAAGGGUACCCCAAAGAGUGCCUGUUGAAUCUAGAACAUGGUUUUGCAAUCAAAAUGAUAAAACAUUCUGGGAUCUUUACCCAUUAACUUGGAAAAAACACAGAACUAUCAAAUUAGUCAGAAAAAGCCAAGUCUUUAAUCAGGAGAGGGAUAGGUUCAAUAACUGGCCGCAACACAGAGCCCAGUGGAAAAGACUACACAGGGCCUGGGGACUCUGGGAAUGUAUCCCUGGAAGGAUCACAGUGUUAGAUCAUCGUCUGAAGCACAAUAGAAUUUGGGGAACAUAUAUACCUUCUGUUGAACUGAGGACAGGGAAGUAUGAUUGAUUGGCUUUACAAUGGCUACAAGGGAAUGAGAAGUUCAAGACAGGAUUAUCUGGGUAAAUUGUAAAGCUGGUGCUUUACAAUGGCUAAAAUUAUUAGCUUAUGUCCCUUGAGCUAAUAAUUUUUUUUACAUAAUGUAAAAAAUAGACUCGAAUACAGGACUACAAUCCCCAUGAGCCUUUGCUCCACUUCCCUGUGCCAAUGGUGGCUCUAGCUUAACCCAGGACCGCCCAGAGGUCUGUGGCUUUGCACAUGUCUGUUGAAGGUCAUAUUCUCAAAUAAUUAAAUCUUGAUCCUUUGCUGCAGCCCUUCCUAAAUCCUGUUGGGACUGAGUGGGGUGGAAAUUGUAUUUUCCAAGACCUGGUUCUGUCAUUCCAAGUAUCUCUAUUGUAUCAAUUCUAAAAUCAAUCAUGACUCAAAGAACUUCCUGUUCUAUGCUUAAGCAUAGGUCAAAGCCCUUUCCAUUGUUCAGCAAAAGGUUUCUGUCCUAAAGUAAUCUUAAGAAGGGAGGAGGAGGAACCUCCCAUGCCAGUGGGGUUCACAUUCCAAUAGAGUUCCCACUAUCAAUAGGAAAUUUUUCAAGUAUGAAAUUUCCCAAUGGUGAAAUUUCCAACAUUUAUAAGUCUAAGAAAUUUUAAGGUUUACAAUCCCCCCUGAUGAUCAUUAGGAGACUAGUCUCCCCAUUGAUCAUUUAACAUGAUCAUUUUGUAGUUCUAAAUUCACUUCUAACUAAAAAUAUACACAAUAUUCAAUUUUCUAAGAGAAAUUAGAAUAGUGAGAGAGGAAAUAGAAAAGAAAAGAAAGCAAAACCAAUGUUUGCUAGGCGCAAUUAUUCUGCCCAACUAGACGCAGUAGCAGCAGGAGCACCACCAUGCCUUAGAGGAGUAGCUGCUACAGCCUUACUAGUAACAAAAACCAUUGAUUUAGUAUUGGGAUGUCCAUUAACAAUAAUGUGCCCACAUGAGAUAGAAGCAUUAUUGAUAAAACAUAGAACACAGGCAUUCUCGGAUCAGAGAAUUACAAGGUAUGAAAUAACCUUAUUAAAUAGUGAAAAUAUUACCUUGAAACGAUGUUCAACUCUUAACCCUGCCACCUUGCUUCCAGAUUUACCUACUUCAGGAGAACCAUUACAUAACUGUGAAACAUUAGUGUCCAUGGCAGAAAAGCCUCGAGAUAAUCUCUUGGACACUCCCUUAGACAAUGCAGAUCUGAUUUUAUUUACCGAUGGUUCCUCUUUUAUGAGGGAUGGCAUACGUUACACUGGAGCUGAGACUGGAGUCUCAGAAUUUGCCACUGAAUGGUCAGCUUCACUACCUUCUAACAUUAGCGCUCAAGGAGCAGAACUCAUAGCUCUAAAACAAGCUUGUAUAAUUGCCAAGGAUAAAAAGGCAACCACUAGAUUGGAUGAGAACUUCUCAAAAUUUUUUUAGCCUAGAGAAUUUUUUUUUAAAGCCAAGGUUCUCCGAGAUGCUCUUUAGAAAACCAUCUUGAUCAGCUCCUGCCUGCGGCCCUCUCCAGCUCCUGCUUCUGCUCCUGGCCUCUCACCUGGUGCCUGAGCUGUGCUCCAGCUCCCAGCCCGACCCACCCUGGUGGUCUGUCUCUCACCCAUCUGGCCUCCGACCCAGCCGGCUCAUCACCCAGAUCCUUGGAGCAGAUUGCUGAGGACUCAUUUCGACCAGCUGGUAACAGUAUUGGCCACGUGGGUGGAGGGGAGAGAAGAGAGGGAAAAGAGACCGGGCAAUUUUCCCUUAGGCUAAGCCUCCACGUGGCUGGGGGUAUUGGCCACAGGGGGAUCAGAGAGGGGAAAGACAGAAAAGACUAGAGAGAAGAAACAGACUUUUCAAACAGAAACCUAAAAAGCAAUGGGCUGUUUAAAAGGAUUUUUGACUCUUCUGGCAAUUUCAUUGAUUUUACCUGCCUGUCAGGGAGCAGACUCAGCCCAAAGAUUCAACUUUAACUUUGGGGAGGAAAAUGGGUGGCCCAGCGAACUGGAAGCCAGGCCCAGAGACAGGAGGUCUCUAGUUAAAAUCUGGCCUCCCAUGCUUCCCAGCUAUGGGGCCCUGGACGGAUCCCUUGAACCCCAUAGCCUAGCCUUUACUACUCUACCUUCGGACAAUAGACAUUUAAAUGGAUAAUUAAAAACAAACAAACAAACAAACAAAAAAACCCAAGGAACUUUGAAGAGACUAAAGGCUAUAUUCUAAGGCACUUCAGAUUCCAAUGGUUUAUAAAAAAAUCUCUGUAUUCUAUAGCAUUGUUUUGUUUAAGAUAUAACUUUGUGAUUUUAAGUUCAUAUAUUACUGGAUUCAAUAUUAUUCUGCUUGAACUGAAGGUUGAUUGAAUUUAUUUUGAAUGUACUGAGUUUUAAAAUUCUGUUGUUUUCCCCCUAUAAUUGUGUUGAACAAAUAUUAUUGUGAAUAAGCCCAUAUAUGAAAAAAACAGCCUUUUUUCUAUUUUGCUGAGGAUAGAUGGACUUCAGAACUGAUUAUAAUUGUAUUAACAACCUUUGGAAUUUUAAUGUGCUAAAUACCUCAAAUGAUUUGAUUUUAAGGGUUUUUUAAAUGUGAUUUUUGGAAUUUUUUUUAACAAUCUGGUUAUUUUUGCCUGCCCCUAUCACGAUGUAAGGCCCAUUCCAGUAGCUGAAGUGAAAUACAUUUUAUAACCCCCAACCUUCCCGCAUUUCUAAAUAUGUGAAUGGAAGUUGGGCAGUUAAUCUCAGGGCAUUUGUAUCCCUAUAUAUAAGCCUCCAAGAAAAAGGAGCACCCCUUUAUUUAUGCUCUUCAGCUCACCAUUUUACUUCUACCAGAAUGAUAUAUAGAUUUAUUGAUUAUCUUCUAAACCCAAGAUGAGUUUUACUUUGUUUUAAAAAAUAUGUUUAUUACCAAGGUUGAAGGAUUGCUAUGUUUGUAAAAAUUGUGACAAAUGUCCAUCAAUUCAUAGGUUUUAAAAAAUGUCAUACAGCAACUUAUAUGAAAUAUGAAAGUGUGUUUGUUUGCUAUUGUAAUUAAUUGGGCUAUUGAGAAUUUUGGGGAUUUUGAUAUCUACAUAUUUGUACUACUGUUUUUAAAAAUGAAAAAUUGUUAACCUUGUUCAAUUCAUUUGCCUUCUACUCACAGUGAUCAUGGCCAGAUACAAAGAGGAAAUGGAUCUCAUUUUUUGGUGAGAAAGCCUUGUAUUUUAUAUUUUCUUAACUGUCAAUGGUUAUAAGCUAUAUUUUUGAAUUUUUAAAAGCUCUUUUAUUAAUAUAUAUUUCUUGCAUGUGCAAUAUACUUUUUCAGUUUUUUUAUUAUUUUUUCUCUCCUUUUUAUAUUUGAAGCACAUGUCACCAGUAUUAAGAUUUUCUUUAACCUUUUGAUUUUUAAGUUUAAGAUACAUUUGCUAAUACAUGCCCUAAAAGGCUUGUGACUAUAAAAAUGAUGCCACUAAUUAUUUAAAUAAAUUAUGGGACUUUGCUUAAUGAUUCUGUUUUAUUCCAGGACAAGAGAUACACACAAGAGCCAUUUCAUAGGGCCAAAGAAAGGCCAAUCUAGGAUGGAUUGAUGCACUUCUAGGCCAAUACAAAGGUCUUGAACCUAGUGUGAAGACUCGAGGUUACUAUGUUUAACAUGUGUUAAGACAUAGGCUUUCCUUGUAUCCACACUCACCCUGAAGAUACUCAUAGACGAGUAUCCCCAAAACCUUGGCUCCUACUUGGCUUCUAUAAUCUGGUCCCUUUUCUGCCUCUCAUAGUGUGGUACCUUUCUGUAGUCCUGGCAAUGACUGGGUAAAUGCAUCAUUACUUAGAUCAUUUUGAUUGGGCCCUGAUUGAAGUACCUGUUAUAGAUUUAUUUUUCUUCUACUUGAAAUUUUUACACAUAAGACUUUGAUAGUCUAUAUUUUCAUCCAGAAAUUUUUCUUUCCUUUUGAUUUUUCUGAUGUCUUUUUAAUAUCUCUUGCCAAUUGAUUCAUAUACCUCAUACCUCAGCCAUGCAUCCCUAAGUGAUCCCUUUUUUUUUAUAUCACCCUCUUAACGAGGGAAUGUAAAAAAAUAUCAUUAUUUAAAUUGCAAAGUUUAAAUUCCUUUUGAGAAGAAUUUUAGGUAAAGAAGAUGCUACUUCCCUGAAUUCAGAAACUGAACUGUUGGAGAAGCCAUCAUGAAGAAGCCUCCAGACCACGAACUGCACAAAAAUGAAUUUUGGGUGUGGUUAACGAACAUUUAUUUGCAUGCAUACUUUCAUGCCAAAGGGGACUGCCCCCUAACUGGCUUUCUGUCAAUGCGUCCAGUAAUUAUUGGUUUUAUUCUUUUCUUUCUCUUAUCCUCAAAUUAUUGUAAUCUUUAAAUUGAUUAUGUUUUCAUGAUCCUUUGGAAAAAAAAUUAAUUUUUUUGCAAACAAUCAAAGGGGGGGAAUGUAAAAAAUAGACUCAAUACAGGACUACAAUCCCCAUGAGCCUUUGCUCCACUUCCCCAGAAUGCCUUGUAAUCUCACCUGGGCCGAGAUCGAGAAGGUAUUUAAGCUGAUUCAAAGGCUUUUGAGGGUCUCUUGGCUCUUUUUGGACUUCCAUUUUGGAGCAGGCUCAUCUCUUGCGUGAUGUGAGGUUAUUUUGUCUAGGCCUCUGGCCUAGGCACAUGUUUCUUACUUGUAUAUUCUUUAAUCUUUAGCCUUUAAUAAACCUCAAAAAAAUAUAAUACUCCUUGCAGAGAGAAACUAAUUUCUACCUGCCUUCACCUGCCUCAGUCUCCCCAUCUCCCCUAAAUUUUAAUCUUUACAAUUUUAAAAGUUUUAUAUUUAAAGUUUUUGUGUUAAGUUUUAUAUUUAAAAAUGUAAAAACCAUUCUGGUUCACCAACAGUCUUUGCUUAAGGGUAUUACCAGUAUAGGUUUCAGAAAUGACAACUUUGUGCCCUUUGAGUUUCUUCAUGUAAAAUGAGUGGGUUAGAUUAGCUCUAAAAUUUUAUGAUUCUAAGUUAGACCAAGGUAUUUUGGCCAGUGGGAAUUUUAGUGUAAAAAUUUUUACCAGAAGAAUCCUCAUUUUAGAUUAAGGAUGACAGAAAGCAAAAGGCUUGUUGUAGACACUUCUAAUUGCUGCAAGUUUAAGAUUGAUUGUUCUCUCAGAAAUCGCUUUUUCAGCAAGGGAAACUUAGAAGUCAAAUCUUGACUGAGAUAAUUUAGUUUGUCCCAUUUUACAGAUGAAGAACCUUAAGUUCAGAGAGGAUGAUAAGCACAGACUGAGGUUAGAGUUAGAUCUAGGGCUAGACACAAAUCAUAUUACUCCAUGCUAUUACUCUUUUAACCCCUCCCCCCAAAUGUUCUUAAAUAACUGAAGGCUACUUAACAUUUUGGUUAGAGUUUAGUGACAAUAAACAUAGAGCUCUUUCCCCUUGGCCAAAUUCAAAGAUCAUUUAGGAGUCUAUGGACACUAGGUCAAGGACUCUUGCCCUAAGGCUAGUGACACAUAAGUUGCUUCCUUUUCCCAUCUUAGGUUUGACAUAAAGCCACUUAAUAUUUAGGUUUUCAAAUCAUUGUUAAGAAACCAAAACUACUUAAAAGCAGUAUUUCUAUAGAAUGGUGAUAGCUUGAAAACACAGAACUUUGAUACAUCCAA